rnacentral:SRP_RNA from 1 species
GCUUGGGUGUGGUGGCAUGUGCCUGUAGACCCAGCUACUCAGGAGGCUGAGGCGGGAGGAUCACUUGAGCCCAGGAGUUGUAUGCUAUAAGGCACUGUGUCAGUUAUGUGUCUGCACUAAGUUCCACAUCAAUAUGGUGACUUCCCAGGAGCUGGGAUCUCCAUCCAGGUUGCCUAAGGGAAAAGUGAACUGGCCCAUGUCAGAAACAGAGUUGAUCAGUAGUGGGACUGGCCUGUGAGUAGCCAGGGCACUUCAUAGCAUAGCAAGCAUAGGGAGACCCCUGACUCU